CGUGCUUAACACAUGCAAGUCGAACGAUGAAGGAGGGCUUGCUCUCUGGAUUAGUGGCGAACGGGUGAGUAACACGUGAGCAACCUGCCCCUGACUCUGGGAUAAGCGCUGGAAACGGCGUCUAAUACUGGAUAUGAGCUCCUGCCGCAUGGUGGGGGUUGGAAAGAUUUUUUGGUUGGGGAUGGGCUCGCGGCCUAUCAGCUUGUUGGUGAGGUAAUGGCUCACCAAGGCGUCGACGGGUAGCCGGCCUGAGAGGGUGACCGGCCACACUGGGACUGAGACACGGCCCAGACUCCUACGGGAGGCAGCAGUGGGGAAUAUUGCACAAUGGGCGGAAGCCUGAUGCAGCAACGCCGCGUGAGGGAUGACGGCCUUCGGGUUGUAAACCUCUUUUAGCAGGGAAGAAGCGAAAGUGACGGUACCUGCAGAAAAAGCACCGGCUAACUACGUGCCAGCAGCCGCGGUAAUACGUAGGGUGCAAGCGUUAUCCGGAAUUAUUGGGCGUAAAGAGCUCGUAGGCGGUUUGUCGCGUCUGCUGUGAAAUCCCGAGGCUCAACCUCGGGUCUGCAGUGGGUACGGGCAGACUAGAGUGCGGUAGGGGAGAUUGGAAUUCCUGGUGUAGCGGUGGAAUGCGCAGAUAUCAGGAGGAACACCGAUGGCGAAGGCAGAUCUCUGGGCCGUAACUGACGCUGAGGAGCGAAAGGGUGGGGAGCAAACAGGCUUAGAUACCCUGGUAGUCCACCCCGUAAACGUUGGGAACUAGUUGUG
rnacentral:rRNA from 1 species